UUACGACUACAUAUCAGGCAUAUCAAUAAGCGGAGGAAAAGAAACUAACUAGGAUUCCCUCAGUAACGGCGAGUGAAGCGGGAAGAGCUCAAAUUUGAAAUCUUCAAGGUUUUACCUUGACGAAUUGUAGUUUAAAGAAGUGUUUUCUGUUGGUGUUUUGGUAAAAGUUCUUUGGAAUAGGACAUCAUAGAGGGUGAGAAUCCCGUAUUUGACCAUUACUUCCAGCGUUGUGAUACACUUUCAAAGAGUCGGAUUGUUUGGGAAUGCAGUCCAAGAUGGGUGGUAAAUUUCAUCUAAAGCUAAAUAUUGGCGAGAGACCGAUAGCGAACAAGUACCGUGAGGGAAAGAUGAAAAGAACUUUGAAAAGAGAGUUAAACAGUACGUGAAAUUGUCAAAAGGGAAGCGUUUGACACCAGUGUUGUUUUCUCGAAAAUCAAUUAAAAAGUAUGGGAUUUUGUAUUGUUAAGACCUUAUCAGCUUACGGUACUUUUUUCUUAUUCUUUUUAAUGCACUUUUCGUUUAACAAGUCAACAUCAAUUUCUUUUGUUGUAAAAGAGUCAUUGGAAGGUGGCUUUCACUUCGGUGAAAGUGUUUAUAGCCUUUGGCUUCUGCAAUCGGAGAGAUUGAGGUCUGCAGCGUAGAUCCUUCGGGGUUAGAUACGUAGAUGCUAAGUUAUAGUUUUUCAUAGACAACUUGUUGACUAUGAUUAAUCAUGUAGCUUACUCGUUUGCGCUAUUUUACCUACGCUUAGGAUGUUGACGCGCGUGUGUGCGUG
rnacentral:rRNA from 1 species